UACGUAGGGGGGCAACGUUGUCCGGAAUCAUUGGGCGUAAAGCGCGUGUAGGCGGCUUGGUAAGUCUGCUCUGAAAAGCCCGGGGGCUCAACCCCCGGGAGGCGGGUGGAUACUGUCAAGCUCGAGUCCGGAAGAGGAGUGUGGAAUUCCUGGUGUAGCGGUGAAAAUGCGCAGAUAUCAGGAGGAACACCAAUGGCGAAAGGCAGCACUCUGGGGACGUGACUGACGCUGAGACGCGAAAAGCGUGGGGUAGCAAAACAGG
rnacentral:rRNA from 1 species